CAGCAGUGGGGAAUAUUGCACAAUGGGCGCAAGCCUGAUGCAGCAACGCCGCGUGAGGGAAGACGGUUUUCGGAUUGUAAACCUUUGUCUUUGGUGAAGAAGAAAGUGACGGUAGCCAAGGAGGAAGCCACGGCUAACUACGUGCCAGCAGCCGCGGUAAUACGUAGGUGGCAAGCGUUGUCCGGAAUUACUGGGUGUAAAGGGAGCGCAGGCGGGACUGCAAGUUGGAUGUGAAAUACCGGGGCUCAACCCCGGAGCUGCAUCCAAAACUGUAGUUCUUGAGUGAAGUAGAGGUAGGCGGAAUUCCGAGUGUAGCGGUGAAAUGCGUAGAUAUUCGGAGGAACACCAGUGGCGAAGGCGGCCUACUGGGCUUUAACUGACGCUGAGGCUCGAAAGUGUGGGGAGCAAACAGGAUUAGA
rnacentral:rRNA from 1 species